rnacentral:rRNA from 1 species
GAUGAACGCUGGCGGCGUGCCUAAUACAUGCAAGUCGAGCGAACAGACGAGGAGCUUGCUCCUCUGACGUUAGCGGCGGACGGGUGAGUAACACGUGGAUAACCUACCUAUAAGACUGGGAUAACUUCGGGAAACCGGAGCUAAUACCGGAUAACAUGUUGAACCGCAUGGUUCAACAGUGAAAGACGGUCUUGCUGUCACUUAUAGAAGGAUCCGCGCCGCAUUAGCUAGUUGGUAAGGUAACGGCUUACCAAGGCAACGAUGCGUAGCCGACCUGAGAGGAGGAUCGGCCACACUGAAACUGAGACACGGUCCAGACUCCUGCGGGGGGCGGCAGUAGGGAUACUGCCGCAAUGGGCGAAGACCUGACGGAGAAACGCCGCGUGAGGGAGGAGGAUCUUCGGGUCGUAGACCUCUGUUAUUAGGGAAGAACAAAUGUGUAAGUAACUAGACGCGUCUGGACGGUGCCUGAGCAGAAAACCACGGCUAACUACGGG